UCUCUCUCUCUCUCUCUCUCUCUCUCUCUCUCUCUCUCUCGCACUUUCCCUCUAGACUCUUUUUCCACUUCGAUCGUUACUCGCCGGUCAUACAUAUUAUCGUUGCUACGACGCUUCAACGACAGAAGAGUGUGUGAAAGUGCUAUACUUCUUGUGUAAUCCGAGGUAACGAGAAAGAAGAAUUGAACAUACUUGUUGGAAACAUAUCGCAACGAUAGGCAAAGAGACGGCCACGCACGAGAAUUACGUAGAUGCAUAAAUGAACACUCUCCGUUGGCCGGUGAUCUAUCGAAGAAAUCGACGCAUAUCAAAGUUCGGCUGUUUAAAGAAAGAAAGGAAAAAAGAGGAUUUAUAAACGAGAUUCGUCGAGGUUGUUUAUCAGGUGUCAAUUUCUCAUCAGGGUACUCGGUACUGCAGUUAUGAAAUAGCAAUGAGCCUGCAGGUUCAGGCCCAUGUGCAACGCCCCGCGAGGUAUACGCCUCAGGAAACCGUCAAGAUUUUGGUUGGAUCUUUUUAAAAACAAAGAAAAAAAGGGCGGAGAAGCAUUUUCUCCGAGGAUACUCUUUCCUAAAGAUAUUUACUUCUUUCAAGUGCUAAACGCUUGUUCGAAAAAAAAGAAAUACGUUUCGUUUAUAAUUUUUUGUUUGUUGAGUUUGUGCGCACUCGAUAAUAAAUUUAAUAAUACCUACAUACAUAGAUAUAAUA